CUUCCUUACUUCAUAGUUGAUAGUACUUUCUGAUUUGUGUUGAGAGUAACCAACACGGCAAGAGAUGUGGAGGUGAAGUGUGCCAUGGAAGACGACGGUGGCAUAAGAUCGUUGAGGUGUAGCCGAGCACAGAGACGUCGGAUCUGAAGAUAGAGGACCAUAGCCAUCUAUCCCACCAACCACCGUCAUCUCUAUCUCUCUCUUAAUUCAACGGCGGAGGAGGAUAAGUAUUAAAUCCCGGUCCAAUUACCGGUAUGAAAGAUACUACAGGUAUGAAAGAUUGUCCAUUUUAUCUAAAAACUGUUCGCUUCGGUUAUGGUAGACAUGGCAUUUACAAUCAAUUGUCCUACUCAUUCCCCACUGAUUGUAAGGUGCAGUUUUUAGAUUUAUGUUUUUUUUUUAUCAAGUUUGAGAGUGAUUAGCCAUGUCCAUUUCAGUGGGGUUAAACGUUUUUUAUUUUGAUUAUCAGGCCAGAACUUUUGAUUGAAGAUUUGAUAAGAGAACUCAGAAGCUACACGACAAAAAGUCAAGAUAUAUGCCAGUGAAUAUGUUAACUAACCUGAAUGUGAUUUUAUGUUUAUACUUUCUUGAAUUCAUUUUAGGUUUGGUUUAACUUUGUCUUCGUAUUUUGAUUCUCAGGCUAGAACAAUGGAUUUGAGGGCGAGCAGAUCCACAUGGAUAUCAAGAUCCAAAUCAGAAGCCAAAGAUUCAGGCGAAUAAAGAUAAGUAGAGAUGCGAGAGACGUGACCAACAGCUUCUCGAACAAAAUCCAAAGAGACCACAUAAUUUCGCAGAGGAGAAGCUACAGUAGAGAAGAUAUGUGGUCAGAUCUCUGUUGGUUGAAACAUUGGGUAUGUUUUCUUCUGUGUUUAGUGCUUAGUUGAUCGCCACCUGUCUCUGUCUCAUUAGUAGAUUUUUAUUUGACAGUACCACUAGAGUUCUGAGAUCUGGUUGCAAGAUUAACUUCCUUAGGAGGAGGAGGCAGAGAUUAGCCUCACUCGAGAAGAAUAGAAAGAAGCUUGCUCCUGCCCCCAACAAACCGGACACGUUUUUGAUUGCUCCUGGAGUUAGCGUCCUGGCCGGGACGCUUUCUGCUGCUGAAAUUGCCUCUGUCAUUAACAAGUAUGGAUCUCCUCGCCCUAGAAUGGAAAGCAGAUGGAGGAGAACGGAAGUCUUUGCAGUAGCCAAAUGGUCGAGCGCUCCUCAAAAAUAUUUUAGAGAUGCAGUGGUCGAGAUGAUCAUAGAGAAUGGUAUCAACCACCAGGAAGAACUCAAAGAGGUUCUCAUUUGUUAUCUCAGAUUCAACACCGACGAAUAUCAUGUCGACAUGAACAUCAAUAUGUUUCAGCAGAUGUUUAAGACAUGGGAAAAAAUUAUGGAGGAAAGACUAAGGGGCAAACAAAAUGAUACUUAUAGCAAACUUGGGAGUGAAGAAACUGGUGUCUCAGUGAAAAAGGUGAAAGCGGAGUGGUGGGGGAAGUUAAGGAGUACUAGGUAUUAAUGGCCUGUUUCUUUUCUCGAGAUGCAGAUCUUUUUUUCAAAACACGUUUAGUGUCAUUUGAGGUUUUGGUUUUGUUGCUGAGAAGGUUCUAUGGCAUUAAAAUUGAGUUAUGUUUCUCAUGGCCAUCCAAAUCGUAUAUAAAAUUGAGUAAAUAAUUUUUAUUAAAUUUGCAUCUAUGAUGUCAGAGGAUACAAAAACAUGUGGCUGACCAGCGUUGUGGAUUAUUUUUGUUAUCUGGAAAAAAAGGACAUGGAUUUUCAAAUCAGAAAUCAGUUUUUUUUUAAGACUUUAACCAUCAUAUUUUACAACUAAAUUUGAAUUUUUAUUUUUCCAGAAAUUCCAAUAUUUUAUGUAUAAGGCCACAUAAACUCAAGAAUGCACGAUUCAUUAAAUAAAUACUUUUACGUUCAAAUAAAAUAAAUUGUUUUAGUGAAUAUUUUAUAUUGAAAUUUUCCUCUUUACUGCUAUAUGACAUAUUCAUGUUAAACACAACAACAUUAGGUGGUUAGUGAAAUUCAACAAUCAGAAAAAGAUUUUCAAUAAACAAGUAUCAUCAGAUAAAAUUUAAAUUUUAUAGUUGAUUUGGUUACGAAGAUAGAAAAACCCUUCAAAAACAUAUUUCUAUGAAAGAUUUUGCUCAUGCAAAAUGGUCAAUGCUACAUAUAUUACAUUAUUUACAUUUUAAAUGUAUAAAAUAUAUAUCAAAAUAAUUUAUAUAAAUGGCUUGCAAGUAUUAAAAAUGAGAAAAUAAAAGAUUCCAAUUAGCCGAAAUAAAGCAGUACUAAAUACAUAUGAAGAACUCGACCAUAAAACAGUUUUACCUUUUCAAUUUGUAAAUAGUAAAAAAAAUUCUCAAAACAAAAAAUAUAUAAUCUCAUAUUUUUAUAAUUAUAUUUUCUAAAUCUACUUAAACUUAUACCUACAUAUACAACUAAUUGGUUGGCUAGCUAUACGCUAAAUAACCUCUAACUGUUAAUAAUGAUUAGAAUGUACCAAAAUUUGAAUAUAUAAAUAGAAAUCUAAAGAGAACAAUAAAUAAACUUAUUAUUGGAAAACUAAACAAAUCCAUAAAAAUAAAGAUAAUAAACUAGGGUCAGUGGCUACAAUCAAUAGUUUAAAUCAAGUGGCUACAGUCAAUAGUUUAAAUCUCAAAUUUUUAUUUUGCCAUGAAAAACAAAUUAUUUAACUAAUUUAUUAAUAAUAAAUUAGGACUUUGGACAAAAAUUAAAAAAAAUAAUUAAAUAGCAAUUACUAUUUAUAAAAGAAAGUUUUGGCUAUUAAAAAAAACUUUUAAAUCUAAAAAAUUACAUUGCGAAGAUUUUCUUUAAUUGUUACCUCCAGUCUAUUAUGUAUAUACUAUUAGAUUUCCAUCUUUAUUUAUAAUAUUAUACCAAUUAAGUUUGUGUAAAGGUCAAUUUAGGUUAGAUCAUUACCAAUUUAUGCAUUUGGCUUCUCGCUAUACCACCACAAGAAAAUACUCCGAAUUCCGACGGAGCUUCCGACUGACACCAAGGUCGUCGGACAUUUGCGACGGAAUACUGACAAAUUUCCG